CCAGAUCUUGUAGCUGCCAUGUGACUGAUAAGUCGCAGACAAGAAUCAAAUAUGAAUACCAAACAACUUGAUAUACAAGCAUUAAAGCAAUUUCUUGACAUAAACAUAGGAUGGUUAACGUCAGGGGCCAAAUGUUCAGGUCCAUUGAUCCCAAAUUACAACAUACAAAAUCUGAAAGUCGAGCAAGCAUAGUAGCCUCAUAGGCAAUUUUCAAAUAUUGAAUGUUUAGCAAUUCUUUUCUCCUUCAACAUGCUUGCAUACUUCCUUUUUUUUUUUUACUGAAAUUCUGAGCAAGUCUUCUACUACCUUUCCCCUUUAAAAGUAGAAGAAUUAUAUUCAGUAUCUGCACAGUUCAGGAUGUGUCUCUAGCAGCCUAGCUACAUGCAUCAACAAAGAAGAAAAGAAUAAAAGAUAAAAGAACGAGAUCUUGAGUAAUAUUACGCCUAAAGAUGCUAAUCACCAGAGAGGCAAAAGGCAAUAACAAAAAUAUAAAGAGUAUGCAUUCCAAGUAGCAUAAAAUUGAACUGGUUGAUUUCACCUCAAAAAUCCUUGGAGAUUGCAUAUCAAUAUCCAGAAAGCUAACCAGAAUAACCGAGUAUAAAUACUAAUGAAAAUUCAAUUGUGACUAAGCCACAUGACAGGGCAUGUGACUAUCGCUCAUAUCUAUUAAAUUUCAGUGAGAUAUAUACGGAAAAAGUAAUUUCAUUCUUAAAAUUCCCUCCCAUAACAUGACUAUGGCUCAUAUCUAUUAAGUUUCAGUGAGAUAUAUACGACAAAAGUAAUUUCAUUCUUAAAAUUCCCUCCCAUAACAUUUCUGUUUCACAAAAUGGGGCAUUUAAGUGGUCUAUGUAUAAACUUGGCCAUUUAACAGAAUUCCAGCCCAUCCCAGAUUAGAUUUGAAAUGCAGAUCCGAAGACACAAAUUUGGAAUACAUUAAAGAUUCUACAGUUUUUCUUUAACUUUAAAUGCACUAACUAUUCAAAUAGAAUAAUUAAAUAUCUCGCGUCCUUACUAACUCCACAAAAUUAAAAUAAAAAAAUAAAAAAAAAACUCCAAACACUAUUCCAAAAAAUUGAACAAUCAACAAUUGGUUAGUAAGUAAAAUUUCAAAUUAGAUGUGAUUAUACAAACCCCCAGGACAGAGAAAUCUGAAACAAUUAAAUAAGUUCUUCUUUCCUAACCUUGACACUUCUUUGAAGAGAAUAAUUAAUGUCUCAGAUGCUUGCUGACUCCAUAAAUAAGAUAACAAAAUUCAAUGCUCAUCUCCAACAGAAUAAAAAAAAUGACCACUUAAUAGAAAGAAAAAUGCAGUCCUUUCCCAAAGCAAACAUAUAAGAAGCCCAUUUCAAUAGAACUUGCCUCCACAUUCGAAGGAAUUUAAACAAAUCCGUGUUCACUGCUGCUAGUAUCUAUAACUAUCACUAUUAAAAGAUUCAUCGGAUUUGCUUAAGCUAAAACCUGCAUCCACUACUAACUGGUACUCAUAAUUAUCCUAUCAACUAUAAACUAUUAGAUCAGCAUCACUAAUUAUUUCACUUUAUGAGAUAAAAACUAUUUUAAAUAGAAUAGUAAUGCAUUAAGUAUUAUACAUAAAAAAACAAAACUCAAAUGCAUAGAAUAAGACUUUUACCCCCCCCCAAAGAAAAAAAUCUCUAUUGUUCAAUUGAUUUAGACAAAAUAUUCCAUGUCGAAAGUUACAGUAAAACAACUAAUCAACGAGGCGCACGCACAAAAUAAAAUUGCUAGAAAGGAGAAUUCAACGCAAAAAAAAAAAAGUAACGAAACAGGAAAUAGAACAUAACAAAUUAGUGAAAUAUAAGUUUAUAGAGAUGCAAUUGAUCUAUAUUUUAAAUAGAGAAAGUAGAGGGCGAAAGGAGAGGCAUUAGGUUACCAGAUUUUUAGAGAGAGAGAUACGAAGAUUGUAGAGAGAGAAUGAUCGGUGGGGAGCUAAGCGCCGAUCUCUGGAGGAGGAAGGAGAAGAAAAGGAGAAGAUUGGGAUUAUAUUUUGUGUAUAAUUGCUAAAAGAGCCUUGAGCAUUUGUGUUAUUAUUAUUAUUAUUAUUAUUAUUACAUUACGGCGGUGGUUACGGGUAUUUCUAUCACAGUUCAAUCAUGGCCGUUGGUUUCCUGAUCUGUGCUUAGAACGUUGUGCAGUGCUUAUGGAUUGGAAUUAAAAAGAAUUAAGACACUCUCACGUCUGAAUACGAUGGAUUAUAUUUGCAUAACUUUAAUAAAUAAAAAAUAUAUAAAAAUAUUAAUUUUAAAAAUAAAAAUUGAAACUCAAUCAAAUUUUAAAUAAUAUAUAUUUCGAAUUUUAUAUAUACUAGCCCAUCUGAUCAUAUGUUCUACACCUAUUAUUAUUAUUAUUAUUAUUAUUAUUAUUAUUAUUAUUACAUUCAAUUCAUAAAAUUUAAAUUAAACUUAUAUUUUAAAAAUUUUACAUGUAUAAUAUAAUUUAAUAUAUAUAAUAACAGUUCUAUAGAAAGUAUUAUUAAUAGUAUGUGAUAUUAGUUUAUUGAAUAACUAUUUAACAUAUUUAUAUAACUAAUACUUUUUCGAAACUAAGAGUCAUUAUUUAGUUAAUAAUUCUUUGACAUUAAAUUUAUUAGUAAUUAAAAAUAAUAUUUUAAUAAUGUCAUAUAAAAAAUUUAAAAUUUAA
rnacentral:lncRNA from 1 species